AUAACCAACUUAGUUUUCAAAGAGUUUAUAAAAGUAAACCUAACUCAUUCAUGGAAUUGUAUUUGCAUUUCCAUGAGAAGAAAGAUUCAGUGAGAAACAACAAGAUUCGUGUGCUGCUUCCUUCAUAACUUUCAUUGUUGGUCCCUUCAAUCUUCUUCAUUAUAUCUUCUCACAAACUGCAAAAUUUUAUUGAAUAGGAGAAGACAAAUAAGCAUGGAAAACAAUUUCUCUCACAUCCCAAAACUUGCUGUUAAUCUCAAAAACCUUCCUCCAAUCGAUCCCUUUCGAGUCACAAAUCCUUCCUCUAAUUCAAAGAAUAAGUUGAACAACAGUUUUUGUAGCAGAACUGCUGUUAAAGAUGCAAAGCGAAACCUAGUCUGGGAAAGUUGCGUGCUUCUGAUAAAGACAUUGUCAAAGAACCCUCCUUGGGAAUGACGAAAAUUGUAGUUGAGGGAGCUUCUUCAAGUUCAUCUAACCAAAAGAGUGAGUCUUGUGGCACCCCAACGACUCCGUCUCAGACAGAAGAAGGUAUGAAGAAAGGAACUGCAAGGUCUAAUUUGUAUGAAAUCUGUGUUGCAAAUCAUUGGAAACCUCCAAUCUUUGAAUGUUGCAAAGAGGAAGGCCCAAGUCAUGAGAGAAUGUUCACUUUCAAGGUUAUCAUUACUAUAGAAGCAUCUAGAAACACAUUAGAGUGCUAUGGUGCCCCUCAUCGGAAAAAGAAAGAAGCAGCAGACGACGCAGCUGAGGGAGCAUUAUUUUACCUCAAGUAUAACCAAUAAAUAGAAAGUAGGUUAUUGGAUAUCAUCAGCAGCCAAGACUUCUACUAUUUCAUUCUUCGGUGAUACUCUCUAGACUUGGUAGCCAAUGGUCAGAAGAAGACCAUACAUUCUUAGGAGAGCUUCUUAACCCUUUUCCCGUUAGAUCUUGUGUCCUCCUCCUGGUUAAUGUAUUGUCAUUACGAGGUUAUUUGUUUUCUUUGCAGUGCUUUUAUUCAUGAAGACACAACAAGUGGAAAGCAUACCAUCAUCUUUUUCCUCUUUGCUGGAUUGUGUGUUUCUAAUCUCAUAAACUGAAGAACUGGUUGCAAUUUCAUGAGCAGGAGAAGGAGAGCUCCUUGGAGAUAGCCCUUGAAGUUUUCUUAUUGUGCUCAAUGGUACUACAUAGUACUUUUGUCCAAGCACAAGCUUUGCAUCUGGUUCAACAACUGCCCAUGGUUGCUGGAACACAUUUGGAUAUGUUACACAACAUCUUGGAUAGCGGCACAUAAUCUCAGCUGCAGUCACUGGUCUGUCAUGGAGCUCAACAUACCCACCACGAUGGACAAUAUGUAGAAGCGUGGUCUUUGGAUUCUUUGCCGAAAUCCGGCGUGGAAAUGGCAUGGUUUCCCUUUGUUUUGGGAGUUCGGGAACGGGUGGGGGCUAUUCUAAACUCAUUAGGAAGAGUAUUUAAGUACUUCAUCAAGGUGAAGUGGUAAAAGGAAAAUUUCAAGACAUGUUGCCUUGGCUGUUAGUGAUUUCCUUCAUUGGUAGUAUCGUUAAAAUUGUCUCCUAUCGAGGCAUUGUAGAAUGAAUCUUCUGUAUCAUUCAUGUUUCUCUUGUUUUCUUUUCCAAGAUUGCAUUUAUGCCUACUAAGAUGACAUUUUAUAAUGCAUUUUUUCUCACCAUGAAAUGGAACUAUACAAGAUGUUCCCUUAUAAGAGAAAAAAAUUAAGUGAUUAAAAUAAAACUUUUAUGCUAAUGUAAUUCAAUCUUUGAAAAUAUUAGUUCAAA